rnacentral:rRNA from 1 species
GUGAGGAAUUUUCCGCAAUGGGCGAAAGCCUGACGGAGCAAUGCCGCGUGAAGGAUGAAGGCCUAUGGGUUGUAAACUUCUUUUCUCAGAAAAGAAUUAUGACGGUAUCUGAGGAAUAAGCAUCGGCUAACUCUGUGCCAGCAGCCGCGGUAAGACAGAGAAUGCAAGCGUUAUCCGGAAUGAUUGGGCGUAAAGCGUCUGUAGGUUGUUUAAAAAGUAUUCUGUCAAAGAUUAGGGCUUAACCCUAGAUAGGCAGAAUAAACUUUUAAGCUAGAGUUUGGUAGAGGCAGAGGGAAUUCCCGGUGGAGCGGUGAAAUGCGUAGAUAUCGGGAGGAACACCAAAGGCGAAGGCACUCUGCUGGGCCAAUACUAACACUGAGAGACGAAAGCGAGGGGAGCAAAUGGGAUUAGAUACCCGUGUAGUCC